AUGGCGGGGCAGCAGCCGAGGCUCGUGUUCCGGUUCACCCACGCCGAGGUCGCCAAGAUGGAGGAGGUCCUCCGUGACCUCGACGGCAUGCCCAAGCGUCCUGUCAUCCAGGGCCUCAUCGAUCACUUCAACGCCUCCCCGGACCGCACCGGCGACGGCAGGGUCCCCGUUCAGUACAAUCAGGUGAGGAAUUGGUUCCAUAACCGGAGGUCCGCGCAGUCGCAGCGGUCCAGGAAGAUGAUGCUGCCCCCAGUGGCCGAGGGACACCACCCAGUGGCCGGAUCCUACUCAGGGAAUAUUUCUUCGGAUGGUGGACAUGUCCAGUUUGAAGCAAAGUCGGCUAGAAAUGGAGCAUGGUACGAUGUUGCUGCCUUUAUGGACCACAGGUUCAUUGAAACGAGGGACCCGGAAGUACUAGUUCGAUUUACUUGGCUUGGACCUGAGGAGGAUGAAUGGAUUGAUGUUUGUAAAGGUGUGAGACUGCGUACUCUUCAAUGUGUCGCUGUGCUGCCUGGGGAUCUCAUUCUUUGUUUUAAGGAAGGCAAAGAGCAGGCCCGCUAUGUUGAUGCACAUGUUCUUCAAGUUCAAAGGCGCAGGCAUGACGUAAGGGGGUGCCGCUGCAGGUUUCUCGUUUGUUAUGAUCAUGAUCACUCUGAGGAGUUUGUUCCACUGAGCAAGGUAUGCCGUCGACCAAUGCACCAGACAGCCCAAAAGCCACCCAAGAUGAUGAGUGUCAACACUGACAAUGGGGUUGCUCCCUUACUAGACGCACCUACUAGCACCCGCAGCUAUUCAAUGGCAGAUGUUGAGAUGGGGGAUGCGGAGGCUGCCCCAAACAGUGAAGCUACAAAUGAAGCACAUGACGACAAGAUGAAUCUGGGAGUGUAG
rnacentral:rRNA from 1 species